GCAAGAUUAAAACUCAAAGGAAUGGACGGGGACCCGCACAAGCGGUGGAGCAUGUGGUUUAAUUCGACGAUACGCGAAGAACCUUACCUGGCCUUGACAUAGAAAGAACUUUCCAGAGACGGAUCGGUGCUAGUUUACUAGAGCUUUCAUACAGGUGCUGCACGGCUGUCGUCAGCUCGUGUCGUGAGAUGUUGGGUUAAGUCCCGCAACGAGCGCAACCCUCGUGUUUAGUUACUAACAGUUCGGCUGAGGACUCUAAACAGACUGCCUGGGUAACCAGGAGGAAGGUGAGGACGACGUCAAGUCAUCAUGGCCCUUACGGCCAGGGCUACACACGUGCUACAAUGGGGUAUACAAAGAGCUGCAAUACGGUGACGUGGAGCAAAUCUCAUAAAAUAUCUCCCAGUUCGGAUUGAAGUCUGCAACUCGACUUCAUGAAGUUGGAAUCGCUAGUAAUCGUAGAUCAGCAAUGCUACGGUGAAUACGUUCCCGGGUCUUGUACUCACCGCCCGUCACACCAUGGGAAUUGAAUUCAUUCGAAGCGGGGAUGCUAAAAUAGCUACCUUCCACAGUGGAUUUAGUAACUAGGGUGAAGUCGUAACAAGGUA
rnacentral:rRNA from 1 species